ACUCACUUCAUAGAUAGCACCUGUGCCAGGUGGUUUCAGUUCCACAACCUCAUUUAAUCCUCCACAAUUCCCUGACAUUUUAUAGGAAAGAAAACUGGCUCAGAGAGGCUGAGUAACCUGCUCAAGAUGACACAGCUUGUGGGUGGCUGAGUUGGCCUUCCAACCCAGAUUCCUGUCAUGUUCCUCAAGCCGACAGGUUCAGCUUGGUUGUGACCUCUGCUAGAAGCCCUCCCUGGCCUCCCUGUGCACUGAGCUGGUGGUUCCUCCUUUGCGCCCCAGGUACAUGCUCAGAUCUGUGUACCCUACACUUUGUCCUCCAGCUUCGUGUUUGGAUGUUCACAACUCCCAUGAGAAGGGCCCCCGAGAGCUGGCACAGUGCAUGUGUUUCCUCUCCAGACUUCUACAAACCUGGCACAUAAUUGUUUGCUGAAAGAUGGCAUGUUCCUAAAACAGAGGAAGUAGAACCGAAUAAAGCGAAAUCCAACUUCCCACUCCCUGC
rnacentral:lncRNA from 1 species